UGCAUUGUGCACCUUUCGAAAGCUGGUGCUAUUGUCGAUGCAGUUACAUGUGACAAUUCAACGCCAAAUCGUUCAGCUUUAAAAAGCUUGGGUUAGUAUCUGUGGACGUGAGUUACAUUUGUGAAAUUAAAGUAGUUGAACACAACUAACUGCAUCGCUACCUUCUUUUCAGGGAUAAACAGUGACCAGAGACAGCUGCAAACUUCAUUCCAGCAUCCAUGCGACCCUUCACGGACAGUGCAGGCACUAAUUGACCCACCCCAUGUCUUCAAAUGCAUAAGGAACAAUCUUCAGAAGGUUGGAAAGUUCCUGCUACCGCAAGGACAUGAGGUCCAUCACUGCCACUACUCUGCCCUGUUGGAGUACGAGGAGCAACAGGCUGGCCUUCGUGCUGUCCCGAAGCUCACGAGGGCUCACAAUCUUCCCCAACGCCUUCCAGAAGAUGAGUGUGCGGCUUGCUGUUCAGCUUUUCAGUGAAAGCACGGCGUCUGCAAUGGAGUUUUAUAGCAAGCAAGAAGGCUGCCAAAAGCUACAUAACUCCACGGCUACGUACAACUUCACGAAGCAGAUGAACAAUCUAUUUGACUGCCUCAACUCAAGAAGACCACAGGACGUGCAAUACAACGAAGCAGAGCACAUCGCGACAUUGAAGGCGAACAUGAAGUGGCUGGAGGAUUGCUGCACAUACAUAGAGAGCCUGCCAAAGCAGAGGCAGGUGUUCUUCCUCAGCAAGCCAACUUGUGGUGCACUGAGAAUAACGCUGCACAGCACGGUGGCCCUGACUGAUCGCGUCUUGAAGUCAGGCUUCCGUUAUGUCCUAGUUGGAAACCUCGGCCAAGACCCCUUAGAGCGCUUCUUUGGAAUGGCCAGGCAUGUUGCAGGAGACGGGGGCCAACCAACUGUUCAGCAGUUUUUGUUUAUAUACCGGAUGCUGUCGGUAAACAACCUCGUGCGGCCACCUAAGCGAGCUUCAGUUGACGGAAACGGGCCACAACUGCUUCUCACUUUGCAAGGUCUUUUUGACAAGGAAAAGCCCUCUACGACUCAGGUAUUUUGCACUUUGUGGACACGACUAGCUGUUUUGCUGGACGAUGUCCUGCUGGAGCCAACAACAGACUGCGUGGAAGACAUUGGCCCCCUGUCGACCAAAGACUCCAUUUUGGAUUACCUAGGCGGAUAUGUGGCCAAGAAGUUUUCUACUUUGGAUUGCGCCGGCUGCAUUGAAACGAUGUUGAGUGCAACACGUCACCCAUCUAACUUGAUCCAGACAAAAUCGAGGGGCUAUUCGAAAGUACCUUGCAGCCGCCUUCUUGUUCUCCUAAAAAUUGUUGAAGAACAUGUAGAGACGUACACGGUACAAAAAAUUGCAUGCGGCGACGUGUACGUGAGGAUUGUUGAGGGCAUUUUGCUCGACAGCCGUACAGUUUCAGCAAGUGUAGGUUGUUUGUCACACUUUUUAGGGACAACAGCUGAGGUUGUCCACUUUUUUUGAGAUGUAGAUUACAUUUCUUCACGCGAGAAAAAAACAAAGUCUCGCGGGCAACUGUGCGAGGUUCAUGCCCUGCAAGUGGGGGGCGGAAGCCACAGUGUUAA